AGCAGCCGCGGUAAUUCCAGCUCCAAUAGCGUAUAUUAAAGUUGUUGCAGUUAAAAAGCUCGUAGUUGAAUUUCGGGAUCAAUAUGUCGGUCGUGCCAUUGGUACGUACUGGUAUCAUUGAUUUCUCCUUUCUGACGAACCAUGAUGUCAUUAAUUUGGUGUUAUGGGGAGUUAGGACUGUUACUUUGAAAAAUUAGAGUGUUUAAAGCAGGCAUUAGCUUGAAUACAUUAGCAUGGAAUAAUGAAAUAGGACGUUUGACCCUAUUUUGUUGGUUUCUAGGAUCGACGUAAUGAUUAAUAGGGAUAGUUGGGGGCAUUAGUAUUCAAUUGUCAGAGGUGAAAUUCUUGGAUUUAUUGAAGACUAACUACUGCGAAAGCAUUUGCCAAGGAUGUUUUCAUUAAUCAAGAACGAAAGUUAGGGGAUCGAAGACGAUCAGAUACCGUCGUAGU
rnacentral:rRNA from 1 species